rnacentral:rRNA from 1 species
AUUGGACGCUGGCGGCAGGCCUAACACAUGCAAGUCGAGCGGAUGAAGGGAGCUUGCUCCUGGAUUCAGCGGCGGACGGGUGAGUAAUGCCUAGGAAUCUGCCUGGUCGUGGGGGAUAACGUCCGGAAACGGGCGCUAAUACCGCAUACGUCAUGAGUGAGAAAGUGGGGGAUCUUCGGACCUCACGCUAUCAGAUGAGCCUAGGUCGGAUUAGCUAGUUGGUGGGGUAAAGGCCUACCAAGGCGACGAUCCGUAACUGGUCUGAGAGGAUGAUCAGUCACACUGGAACUGAGACACGGUCCAGACUCCUACGGGAGGCAGCAGUGGGGAAUAUUGGACAAUGGGCGAAAGCCUGACCCAGCCAUGCCGCGUGUGUGAAGAAGGUCUUCGGAUUGUAAAGCACUUUAAGUUGGGAGGAAGGGCAGUAAGUUAAUACCUUGCUGUUUUGACGUUACCAACAGAAUAAGCACCGGCUAACUUCGUG